rnacentral:lncRNA from 1 species
CAUUCUAUAGUUGGACGAGGCAGUUCCACCCAAAACACGGUAUUGGUGCAUCCUCUUUUUUUAUUUAUUUAUUUAUUUAUUUAUUAUUAUACGUAUCUUGAAGUUAUCCUUCCUGCAGUAUGUACCAUUCUUCUUUAAAACAGGACUGGGCGGUUCAUCCUCUAGGAAGAAUUGAAGCUCCAACACCAGAGAUUGUUGUUACUAAAGCUACAAAUCCAUUUGAUCGUAUAGAAGCAAGUAAUGCAUGAUACAAAAAAGUUUUCUCUGUUCCUACAGGACCAUAUAUAAAAAAGGCUCCAGGUUUAUUUUGAAAUAUUCUAUCAAGAAUUAUAUUAUAUGAUUCUCGCUACUCAUUGUUUUUCUUCCGAUGAUAAAUCCUCUUCUCUAAUAAUUAUAUUUCUUUCAAAAUGAGAAUCAUGAGCCUCCCUAUUAGCAGAUGAAGC